GACGAACGCUGGCGGCGUGCUUAACACAUGCAAGUCGAGCGGUAAGGUCCUUUCGGGGGUACACGAGCGGCGAACGGGUGAGUAACACGUGGGUGACCUGCCCUCAGCUCUGGGAUAAGCCUGGGAAACCGGGUCUAAUACUGGAUAUGACUCCAUGACGCAUGUUGUGGGGUGGAAAGCCUUGUGCGGCUGAGGAUGGGCCCGCGGCCUAUCAGCUUGUUGGUGGGGUGAGGCCUACCAAGGCGACGACGGGUAGCCGGCCUGAGAGGGCGACCGGCCACACUGGGACUGAGACACGGCCCAGACUCCUACGGGAGGCAGCGGUGGGGAAUCUUGCGCAAUGGGCGAAAGCCUGACGCAGCGACGCCGCGUGA
rnacentral:rRNA from 1 species